rnacentral:rRNA from 1 species
AUUGAACGCUGGCGGCAUGCCUUACACAUGCAAGUCGAACGGUAACAGGUCUUCUUAUGCUGACGAGUGGCUAACGGGUGGGUAAUACAUCGGAACGUGCCCAGACGUGGGGGAUAACGAGGCGAAAGCUUUCCUAAUACCUCAUACGAUCUAAGGAUGAAAGCAGGGGACCGCAAGGCCUUGCUCGUUUGGAGCGGCCGAUGGCAGAUUAGGUAGUUGGUGGGAUAAAAGCUUACCAAGCCGACGAUCUGUAGCUGGUCUGAGAGGACGACCAGCCACACGGGGACUGAGACACGGCCCAGACUCCUACGGGAGGCAGCAGUGGGGAAUUUUGGACAAUGGGCGAAAGCCUGAUCCAGCAAUGCCGCGUGCAGGAUGAAGGCCUUCGGGUUGUAAACUGCUUUUGUACGGAACGAAAAGGCUCUGGCUAAUACCUGGGGCACAUGACGGUACCGUAAGAAUAAGCACCGGCUAACUACGUG